rnacentral:rRNA from 1 species
CGCUUUUGGGAGCGGCCUGCGUACGAUUAGAUUGUUGGUGAGGUAAAGGCUCACCAAGUCGACGAUCGUUAACUGGUCUGAGAGGAUGAUCAGUCAGACUGGAACUGAGACACGGUCCAGACUCCUACGGGAGGCAGCAGUGAGGAAUCUUCCACAAUGGGGGCAACCCUGAUGGAGCAACGCCGCGUGCAGGAUGAAGGCCCUCGGGUCGUAAACUGCUUUUAUGAGCGAAGAAUAUGACGGUAACUCAUGAAUAAGGGUCGGCUAACUACGUGCCAGCAGCCGCGGUCAUACGUAGGACCCAAGCGUUAUCCGGAGUGACUGGGCGUAAAAGAGUUGCGUAGGCGUUAGUAAAGCGAAUAGUGAAAGAUGAUGGCUCAACCAUCAGAACAUUGUUCGAACUCACUAACUCGAGAAUGGUAGAGGUAGCUGGAAUUUCC